rnacentral:tRNA from 1 species
GGGUCGUUAGCUCAGUUGGUAGAGCAGCGGACUUUUAAUCCGUUGGUCGCAGGUU